GCAAACUUGGUCAUUUAGAGGAAGUAAAAGUCGUAACAAGGUUUCCGUAGGUGAACCUGCGGAAGGAUCAUUAAACAGUACCGCGGUCUUGAAAAAGACCAAGGAACAAAGCACAGAUGCCCGACACGGGUAAUGUGUAUAACCACUUGUUGAAACACUUACAUCUGCUUUGGCUGCGCCUUCCGUUUAACCGUGGAGGGGUAAGGCGGCCGGUAGCUUUUGAUAAAACUAGUUUGAUGAAAUGUCAUGCUGUCUGAUACUGUUCAGUAUUUGAGAAAUCGAAUAACUAUUAAAACUUUCAGCAACGGAUCUCUUGGUUCCCGCAUCGAUGAAGAACGCAGC
rnacentral:misc_RNA from 1 species